rnacentral:rRNA from 1 species
AACGUAGGAGACAAACGUUAUCCGGAGUUACUGGGCGUAAAGGGCGUGUAGGUGGUUUCGUAAGUCUGGCGUGAAAUUUUUCGGCUUAACCGGGAAAGGUCGUCGGAUACUGCAGAACUAGAGGACGGUAGAGGCGUGUGGAAUUCCGGGUGUAGUGGUGAAAUGCGUAGAUAUCGAGAGGAACACCUGCGGCGAAGGCGGGUUGCUGGGCCGACACUGACGCUGAGGCGCGAAAGCCAGGGGAGCGAACGGG